CCUACGGGUGGCAGCAGUGAGGAAUAUUGGUCAAUGGGCGCAAGCCUGAACCAGCCAUGUCGCGUGAAGGAUGACUGCCCUUCGGGUUUUAAACUCCUUUUUUAGGGGGAUAAAGUGUCGCCCGUGUGCCUUUUUGUAUUUACUUUAUGAAUAAGGAUCGGCUAACUCCGUCCCGCCAGCCGCGGUAAUCCGGAGGUUCCGGCCGUUAUCCGGAUUUAUGGGGUUUAAGGGGAGCGUAGAUGGGAGGUUAGGUCAGGUGUGAAAGCUCGCGGCUCAACGGGAGAAGUGCCAUUGAUACUGGCAGGCUGGAGUGCAGUUGCGGUAGGCGGAAUGCGUGGUGUAGCGGUGAAAUGCUUAGAUAUCACACAGAACACCGAUUGCGAAGGCAGCCUACUAAACUGCGACUGACGUUGAUGCACGAAAGUGUGGGUAUCAAACAGGAUUAGAUACCCUGGUAGUC
rnacentral:rRNA from 1 species